CGGAGGGGCUAGCGUUGUUCGGAAUUACUGGGCGUAAAGCGCACGUAGGCGGAUCGGAAAGUUGGGGUGAAAUCCCGGGGCUCAACCCCGGAACGGCCUUCAAAACUACUGGUCUUGAGUUCGAGAGAGGUGAGUGGAAUUCCGAGUGUAGAGGUGAAAUUCGUAGAUAUUCGGAGGAACACCAGUGGCUAAGGCGGCUCACUGGCUCGAUACUGGACGCUGAGGUGCGAAAGCGUGGGAGCAAACAGGAUU
rnacentral:rRNA from 1 species